AGAUGACUUUACUAAACAUCAAAAGCCAUUGAUGAUAUGCAGAGGAGAAUCUGCUGACUUGUCAGCUUAGAUGGCUGGACCGCGUACCGCCACCUAUGCUCGGCACUUGGUCUUGCACAAGGCAGCACAGCCUUUGGUCUUUAUUCCACACUCUUCGCGUGGUAGCCUUGUGGCCGAAAGAGGCUAUUCACCACCACUACCAAUUUGUUACAUAAUUAUUUUAACUUACAUUACGAGUGUAUCGUAAUCUAGAUCUAUAUAAUGUUCUUGAUUCAAUACUAAUUCAAUCAAGAAAAUUAUUAAAAAAAUAUUUUUUUAAAUAAUAAAUAUUAAUAAAAUGAUGUUUUUUUACUAAUUUUAUAUAAAGUAUUUAAAUAAAAUAACCAAAAACUAAAUGUCUAUUGAACUCAGGGUUAAUAAGAGUUUAAUUAUAAAUAUUUUAUUAUUCAAUUAUUAAAUAAAUUUAUAAAUAUAAAUGUCAUGUUAAGUAAAGAUGAUAAAAGCAUUUUUAAAAAAAAUACAUAGUAUUUGCUUUAAAAAGUACAUAUUAUUAUUCUUUUGUAUAUUCUACCCUGAAUUUUCAAAAUACUUUCUAGUACAAGAGUUUUUAAAAAGUAUAGUAGCAAAUUAAAAAAAAAAGCUAAUAUAAAUAUCACAAGGUAAUUAAGCUGAUUUUUAAGGCAAGAGAUUUGCCAAGAUUUUAUAAACAAGGACAUUGAAAUUUCGAAAUAAAAUAUUUUAAGAAUCAUCUGAAAUAAAAUUCGAAUUAAAAAUCGUUUCAGGGAAUUCGGUAAGAAAAAAAGACAAGACAGAGAAUCAACCAUUUUGUUACAUUUAUUUAUAACAUAUCCUUCAUAUCAAUGUAAAAGAUUUAUUUAUUUUGGCUUUGAAACGAAGCUAGCUAGGAUUUGACGCGGCAUUUUAUGACACAGGCUUCGCAUGCUCCAAAUUUCUCAUGCCACGAAUCACCUCGCCUUCCUCUCUAUAUAAACCUCUGCCUCUCUCCCACCAAUUUCAACCAAAAGUCUCCACUGGUCGUUCAAAGUCAAAGUAAAAAACAAAACCUCCUUUCUCAUAUAUCUCGGGAUAUCAUCAUCAUGAGUAGCUCAAAGUCAUGUGUCAUCAUGCAUGAUGCUGCUGAUGUUAAUAUUAAAAGGUUUCAAAGCAGCUCAAACUUGAGCAUCAUCAUGUAUGUUGAUGGUGUACUUGUUUCAAACUCAAACUUACCGGGUAAAAAUGACGGCAGCUACAGCCGAGCUCCACCUGCACUUGAAGAUGGUGAUGGGGACGAUGACGACAACGAUGGUGAUUAUGAUUAUGCUCCAGCAGCUUAAUUUUAAGGGAUUAUAAUAACAUCUUGUCAAAACCCUAGCUGUAGUUUUACUUAAUGCUCUAAAACCCUAGUUAGUAUGCUGCAUACUCAUUACUCGAUGUUAUCGUUAAUCAAUAAAUUGGUUUUCCUUUGUUAUUUUUUUGUUAAGUAAUCAAAAGAUUGACCUUUGUUGUUUGAUAUAAUACAUUCAAAUGAUUAGGAGAUGUCACGUAAAUUAAUUAACCCAACAUGUUAGCAAAUAUAUAUAUAAAUUAAUCAGAUACUUGAUGAAUAGAUCCACCAACAUAGCUUAUGUGAUGCUAAUCGUUUAAUUAAUUAUUAGUUGCUAUUAAUAAUUAAUAGAUAUCAUGAUGGAUUUUUUUUUUUUUGGGAAUUGUAUAUGAUGACUCAAAGUCCAUGCAUUUGUACGUGCAUGCUUGUGAAAUGUUGUAUGAUACGUACUUUGUACAACACAUGAACCAAUAUCCAAUUCUUCGCCUAUUUUUUUCAUUAGUUAAUUCUCUACUAACCUAUAUAAUUAGCAUCAAAUACUAAUAAUUAUAAUGUUAAUAUGUAUAUAUGCGAGAUGUACAUUAAAAAAAAACUUGAUUUAUUAUUUAAAAAUUAAAAAUUAAAAAUCAGUGUGGAAGAAGUAAGGCCACAUGAUGAUAAUUAAUUUAUAAUUCAUAUUCUAUCUUCGAUUUUGAAUAAUAUUAUUUUCUAAAUUUAGUGUUAAGAUAAAAUAUUGUUUAAUUAAUAUAAAUUUUGUGUUUAAUUUUAAAUUUUAUAUAUGAUAUAUUUUAAUGCAAUAUCAAACUUAUUCAUGAUCAACACAAACAUGUUUGAUAAGAUUUAAAAUUAAAACUCGAUUAAGCUUAAUCUAUAAACACUUAUAUACACACACUUUUACUAUUUUCAUUCUUUACCAAAUGUAUUACUCUUAUAAUAGCAUGACUAUUUUGAUUUAUGUUAUUAAAAUAUAUUAUUUUUAUUACUCGUUUGAAGACUACUUAUUUUUUUUAAAAGUUAAUUAUAUACGCAUAUAUAUUAUCAGAGUUCUUUUUCACACAUAAUAGGUGUGAGAUAAUCUAAUAUGUGAAAAAAAACAUAAAAUCGAGUCUCAACUCAAUUGUGAAAAUAUAUAAAAAAAAUGCACCAUACAUAUAUCAUACAUAUUAAUAAUGAGAAUCAUAAGAUUUGAACUUACAUCAAUUUUUAUUUUUAUAAUUUUUUAUAUUUUUUACCCACAUUGGAGGUAAAACUAAGUUGUAAAUUCUAGCUUCUUUUUUUUUUGCUAAGAUGGCUUAAUUUUUUUUUAUUCUCCAUAUUCGUGAUUACCUCUCUCAAUAGGGGGAAAUCUAGAAAAAUUUUAGGGGCUAGAGUUGAAUUAUAAAUUUUUGAGAGAUCAAAAUAUAAUUUUAUCAUGUAUUAAUUUAUGAUUUUAUUAUUUGCUGAAGGGACAUAAUAAUUUUUUUUCAUUCUUGGGAGGGUUAAAGUGCAAUUUGAUUAUAUAUUACUUUAUAAUUUAAACAUUUCUUAAGAAGCCUGCAUAGCAAAUUUUUUCAUUUUAGGAGGGUCAAAACCUUGUCUACACCCUCUAAAUUUGCCUCUAUCUCUUAACAAUGUCACAUCCAAAGUUUGAACUUAUAUAUCCUUUUAGGAGUACAAUGUAUCUUAUCAUCGCAAUCAAUAAUCGUUAGUGCUAUUAUGGCUUAAUUAAUCAAUGAAUAAUGGAGAAUAUCUUUAGGAAAGCUAAUUGAGGGAAUAUAAUCUUAAACUUAAUUAAGGCAAGUAUAUAUACAUACGCAGACAAGUUGACGCAAGGCAUGUUGCUAAUUCAAGAUUAACAACGAUGUUUUUCAACUUAAUUUUAAUUUAACAUAGUUUAAGUCGAGUCAAGUGUGAAUUUAUAAUUGGUUAAUCUUUUAGCAGUAGUUUCAACAACAGGCACUACUAGGCAAUUAACUAUUGAAUAAUCUAUCUUCAAAUUAAUAAUUAUGAAUUUUUAUGGCCAAAAAGAAAUAAUUAUGAAUUCCAUUCCCACCUUUUAGAAUCACUUUAAAUUAAAUUAACACCAAUUAAUAUAAUAAUAAUAAAAACAAGAACACUAACACUAACAUGAAGAGGUUUUUUUUAUCAUUGAACUUAAGAUAUGGUAAGGAUUUAAUACCAAAGAAGUGUGUGUUUAUAUCCAUCAAUAUUCCCCUAAUUAAUCAGAGAAACUAAAUUUAAUUAAAAUUGAAACUUGAAUUCUAAUAUUUGUAAUUUUUCUCUGGACACAUUAGUUUGCCAUUCAUCUGAAAAUGUUGAGCAAAAUGUGAUUAUGUUGCCAUGAUGAUGCCACAACUAUUAGGCCAUAGCUAGCUCCAAACCACAUGUUAGAAGAUAAUGGGCUUCACUUUUUCAUAUCCUGCAAAAGCAGCAAUAUGAUUUAAUUUCUUUCUUUUUUCAGAUUGUAGUGUGUAGCCCACCACCCUGCCCCGGAGAUGACUUUACUAAACAUCAAAAGCCAUUGAUGAUAUGCAGAGGAGAAUCUGCUGACUUGUCAGCUUAGAUGGCUGGACCGCGUACCGCCACCUAUGCUCGGCACUUGGUCUAGCACAAGGCAGCACAGCCUUUGGUCUUUAUUCCACACUCUUCGCGUGGUAGCCUUGUGGCAGAAACAGGCUAUUCACCACCACUACCAACACCACCAUCUAUAUAAGCACUUACGGAUGGCUCUCAAAUCCAAACCAAGUUACAUAUUGAAUUUGAGCAUAAUUCAACGCCAAACACAAGCCACCAUUAGACCCAUUUUUAAACCCCAGUUCCUCCUUUGUUACAGAAGUAGAACGAAAAUGUCGCCUUUAUCCAAGGUUGUUGCUUCAUGGUGCAAGAAGCAUGCAGAUGGAGAUGAUGAUGACAAUGAUUUUGACUAUGCUCCCGCAGCAUGCAUGGAAGGCAAUGGCGACGAUGAUGAUGGAGACUAUGACGUUGCUCCAGCAGCUUCUCUCGAGGGCGAUGAUGAUGACGAUGGCAGCUAUGAUUAUGCUCCAGCUGCAUGAUUGGAGUGAGGUUUAUGAGUGCCCCUUACCGUGGGGUUUCUAACCCAAAACUUUUUGCAAUUCUAUUAUGGAGUGAGGUUUAUGAGUGCCCCCCCCCCCGGUGGGGCUUUAAAGCACCUUGUGAUUUUGGGUUUAUAAGGAUUAUUUUAAUUAAAUGAUAUUCAAGGAAAACAUGGGAUCGUAUUUUAUGUCAGCUAUCGUUAUUAUUUUAGCAAUCUGUGACAAACGUGGAAGCAAUUAAAUAAUUUAUUGCAGUUUUGUACUUUAGCAUAAUCCAUUGUUUUAAAAGAAUGUUUUCUUAUCUGUUGGUGUUAUGGUAAAUAUCAGUCAAACAAGUCAAUGUAGAGCUAAUUAAUCACUGGUUUGAUGGGGACCUAAAAGGUCAGACUCUAAACUUGAAAAUAAAAUCUAGUAACUGAUAUUGUUGCUUUUUUAUUUUUUAAAAGUACUUGUGUUUUAAGGCAUAUCUAAAUAUAAGUAAGACUGUAAGAGAAGAUAAAUAAAGCUGGUUGUUUUCAUGUUCCAAUCAAAAGAAGAUGCUGACACUAUGGAAGGGCAUUAUGAAAAAUUCCCAAGCUAGGUUAACAAAAUCUUGCGGGCCGAUUAGGCGGGCAGUGGGGGAUGGUAAAAGUGUUUUAUUUUGGCACGAUUGCUGGUUCGCGGAUAAGGAGUUGAAGUUGCUUUUCUCGAGGCUUUAUGGAAUAGCAUCGUUGAAAUGGGUUACUGUGACAGAUGUGUAUGGGCAUCAAUACUGUACUAAGAUUGAUUGGAAUAAGCUUGGUGAAAGUAUUAUAUAAACUUUUGUAUUAAAAAUUAAAUUGUAUUUUUUAUUAUAAAAUUGUUAAAUCAAUUUCAAGAGGAAAUUGCUCUUUUGCUAAAAAUUAUAUUUAUUUCUAAUGUUAAGUGAUGAUAUUAUGUUACUGUGUUUACUUAAAAAAUUUUAUCAAUUUCACUAUUUGUUAAAACUUCUUUCAUUUCUUUUUUUAAAAUUUUUAUCCAUUCAUUUUACUUGAACUAGUCCCUCCAAGUCAAUAUGAGAUACACAUGACUUGUUACUUGUCAUUGUUUGGUUGCUGCAUCAGCCACACGUCAACACUUAACAGAAAAAGUUCAAGAAAUUUUUAAUAAAAAAGAAUAGUUUGCUCUUUUAUCUAAUAUAUAUGGACUAAUCUAUCAAUUUUUUGAGUAGAGAGGACAAAUGUAAUACGAUUUCUUAGUAUAGAGCUUCUAUGGUAUUUUUACCGAGUAAGAUUUUUAUAAAGGAGUUGUUCAAAUAAAUGUAGAUCAUGUACUAAUCGUAUUAUCUGGAUUAGAGAUACGGCUGGGAAUUUUUCAGUUAAGAGGGUAACUUUGUUAAUGGCAGAGGAGAUUGAACAACAUUGUGAUUUGGGAUUUGGAAAAUUGUGGAUUUUAUUGAUACCGUCGAAGGUGAAGGCUUUUUAGUUGCUUGUCAUUCAGAGAAUCCCUACGAAAUAUUUUCUUACAAAGAGAGGGAUUAAGCUGAGUUUGAAUAAGCUUUAAUGCUGUGGGUGUAACAAGUUCGAAGAGACUGGCCCUGUCUCUAACACGGUAUGUGAUCAUGUAUAUGAAUCCUAGUCAUCAUAUACCAUAUCAGUUUCUUCAAAUAAAUGUUAGCUGAAAGGAAAAAUAUAGCCGCUAGGAAAGGCCAGCAAUUUUUUAGCAGAUCCAUGAAUAUUACUAAACUCAUGCCUUUGUGUGAACUUCAGAUGAUAAUCUUAACUUCUAAAAUCAGAUGCUAAAAUGAUACAUGAAAUGAUUCUAUGGGAUAAAACUACAAAAUUAUAUGAUUUUUCAUGUAUAUAAAAUAUUUUACGAUUUUUUUAUAAAUAAAACCAUUCAAAAAUCAUAAAAAUCUAACUCAAAUAAAUUUUCGAGUUAAAGAUGGUUCUGUAACAGCCCCAUUUUGGGUCUAGAUGGAACAGUGGUUUUUGGACACAAAUCUGACGAGGAAAAAAAAUGUAAUGGCCUGAAUUUUCAGAGGUGUCGGAACGGUGAUUCGAGAUCACUAAAUUCGACAAAUGAGUAGAAAAUAUUAUUAAUUUAGUGAGUAUAAGUUAAAUGUGAAGUUAGGAAAAUUUUUGAAAUAGUGAAUAGUGCACUAGAAAUAAAUAUUAAAAUAAUUAGAAUAAAAAAUAGGGUAUCGAGACCUCGGAGAUUUUAAAUCGAGCCAUAAAUAUUUUUAUAAAUAUUUAUGGAGUGUUAAAAAGUUAGUAUUAAAGUUUCGUUAAGAAAUUUUAAAGUUCCGAUAAUUAAUUGAACAAAAAGGACUAAAUUGUAAUAAAUGCAAAAUUAUGGGAAAUGAUUAAAUAGCUUAAAUGAUAAAAGGAAGAGGGCUUCAAAGGAAAAUAGACCCAAGGUCUAUUUGGGGUGGACGGCAAAGGCAUGAAAUCAGCAACAAAGUAAGGAGAAAUAAGGGCAAAAUUGAAAUAUUGCAAAAUUUACUUAAUAAAGAUAGGACCAAAGUGGAAUUAUCUAGAUUUCUCUUUAUUUUUCUGCAAUCUCAUCAGAAAAAACACCAUAGAAGGGUUUCCUUGAGCUGGUUCUUCCUAUUUUUACUGCAGGUAAGUUCAAUUCUUGAUUAUUUCUUGAAAUUUUGGUGUUUUUGUGACUUUUACAACUAGGCCCACUUGUUGUAUUCAUUAGUUUUUGAUUCUAUGAAAGAAGUUGAAAGUUGCUAUGAAUACAUGUUGGAAAUAUAUGAUGAUUUAGGAUGGAAUUAGAGCUUUAAAUUGUUCAUAUGCUGAUUUUAUUGAAAGAAUUGAAUAGAAAGUGAAUGUUUGAGACCUAAUAGUAAAAGAGUUUGAAGAUAGAGUUAUAUGUGGAAAUUCUGAAUUUCAAUAGUUGUGAAACAACUUAUAAUGUCUAGGUAAAGUAUUAAUUGAGAAAAUUAGAUUAAUUGAGGGGUUAAUUGAGAAAGGACCGAGUUGUAUAAACUGUGAAAUUUGGGGCAAAAUGGAAAUCAACAUUUUGCACUAAAGCAGUUUUGGACAGCAGCAGUAGUAUAAAUUUGAAAAAUCACCAAAAAUUUUGGGAAUUGAAUUAUAGGGUGAAUAAAAUAUGAAAUUAAAGCUUAUUGAGUCUAGUUUCUCAUAGAAGAAACGGUGUAAGCAAUGGAAUUGUAAAUCAUGAGAUAUAAUUUGUGAGACAAUGUCAGAAUGAUUUCGGGUUCCCCUAUUCUGACUUUGGAAAAUCAUAAAAAAUUGAAUAAAAAUAAUUAUGAGUUAUAAUUUAUAUGCUUAGAAUCCUUAAUGAGUCUAUUUUCAAAGGAAAUAAACGGAAACAUCAUCCAAAUUCUGUACAAUUAGAUAAUUCAUUUUUAGUAAAGAGUGGUCGGAACUAUCAGACAGCGAAACAGGGGAAAUUUUAAAGAAUAAAAUGUACUAUUUGGCUGAACAAAAAAUUCUGAAAAUUUUAUGGUAAGAAUUUAUGUGAGUCUAGUUUCAGAGAAAAUUAACGGAUCUUAAUUUGGAGCUCUUUAGUUCCGGAUAAAAAUAAUUUAGUGACUCUGACUCGGAUAAACAUUUUUGAAUAUACAUGUGAGUGAAUAGUGAAAUUAUAGCUAAUGUUGUUUAAGUGUGUUAUACACAUUAAGGAUGUGGAAUGGAGAGGAGGAGGAGGAAAAUUGGGAAAUAUAUGAGUGAUUUGUGUAUAAUUGGUCAUAUGCUUGAUUUUAAUUGAUAAACGAUGAAAUAGAAAUGAUGCUUAUAUUUGUGCAUUAUUGGUCAUGGUUUAAGCUCAUGUGUGAAAAUAAAGUUUCAUAGUAUGUGUGUAUGGUAUAUUCGGUAUAUGAUUUGGCAUGAAAUAAUGGCAUGAAUGGUUUAUGAAUUAACACAUGUUGGUAAGCCUGAUACAUGAAUAAAUGUUGUGCUCAUCCAUGCUUAUAAUGCUUAUGCUAAAUGCGUAUUUGGCUAACAUAUUUGGUGUAUAUGCUUAGGCUUUGGCCAAGUAGUGGCUAGAUUAUGCCACGUUAAAUUUAUAAGUUAUGCAUUGAAAUGGUUUAUCGUGUGGUUAGUUCCAAAAAGAGUUAUGUUUAAAUACACUAGCUUGCAACUAUGGUUGAAUGAUAUGCUUAUAUCUUGUGUGAUGUGCAUAGAAACAAAUGUGGAAAGAUAAUGAAAUAAUAAGUUCAUAUUAUUUAAGCUAAAGUGAUAUUUUCAUUGCAAAAUUGUGAAUUUCAUAAAUGUGUUAUUGAACGGUAUAAUCGAUAAACAUUGAGUUAAAUGGUAAAUACGUAUUAGUGUUGAACUUAAUGUCAUUGAAUUGUACGUGAAUUAAAUGGAAAUUGCUAGUUAAUUGAUUUAAAUUGUGAGCAUGAGAAGUUGCGAAUUGAAUGAAAUGGAAAUGAAACAUUGAAUUGCAUGAGUAUGUAUCGGGUCUCAUAGGCCCUAAUUAUUAUGAUUAUAAUAUUUUGAGGAUAUAUUGUGAAAAGUUAUAGAAACAUGUUAAUUAUUUUGAAAGUUUUAAUUUAGAUGAAAUUUUAUAAUUCGGUUAAAUACGUUUACAAGUGUAUGUGUUUUGGUAAUGCCUCAUACCCUAUUCCAGUGUUGGAUACGGGUAAGAGGUGUUACAAGUUCCAUCGAUGUCACUAAGAAUAAAUACCCACAAAUACCUUUCACUAGAAAACCGAGAAUGACAACAACAGGAGGAGAAAAAGACCAGACAGAGAAUUAAUCAUUUUGUUACAUUUAUUCAUUACAUAUCCUUCAAUAUUAAUGUAAAAGUAUUGAUUUUUUUAUUUUUAUUUUUGGCUUUGCAACGAAGCCAGCUAAGAUUUAACGCGGUUUUUUUAUGUCACAAGCAUCACACGCUCCGAAUUUCCUAUGACAGGAAUCGCCUCGUGUUCCUCUCUAUAUAAACCUCUGCCUAUCUCCCCACCAGGUUCAACCCAAAAGUCUCCCACUGGUGGUUCAAAGUCAAAAGUCAAAAACCAAACGCUCCUUUCUCACAUAUCUUGGGAUAUCAUCAUCAUGAGUAGCUCAAAGUCAUGUGUCAUCAUGCAUGAUGCUGCUGCUGAUAAUAUUAAAAAGUUUCAAAGCAGCUCAAACAUGAACAUCAUCAUGUACGUUGAGGGUGUACAUGUUAUUUCAAACUCAAAUUUACCGGCUAAACAUGAUUAUGCUCCAGCGCCAGCUUAAUUUUAAGGGGUUAUAGUAACAUUAUCAAACCCUAGUUAUAGUUUUUGCAAUGCUCUAAAACCCUAGUUAGUAUGUUGUACUGUAUGUUUUUAGGUUUUUCUUUUUGGAGUUAAUAUGCAUGCAUGCAUGAUGUAAUCUUACGAUAAUAGAUAUAGCAAUAUAUAUUGUCGUUAAUCUAUAUAUAAAUUGGUUUUCUUUAUUCAUGUAGGAUGAGAAAUUUUAGUACAGUCGUGCGGGAAUUUUGAAUAAAUAAUUUAUUUUAUUAUUAAGUAAUCAAAAGAUUGAACCUUUUUUUUAUAUAAUAGAGUCGAAUGAUUAAGAGAUGUCACAUAAAUUAAUUAACCCAACAUGCUAGCAAAUAUAUAUAUAUAUAUUAAUCAAAAACCUAAUGAUUGACUCCACCAACACAGCUUAUGCGAUGCUAAUCAUUUAAUUAAUUAUUAGUUAUUAAUAAUAAAUAGAUAUCAUGGUGGAUUAUUUUUUUGGAGUUGUAUAUGAUGACUCAAAGUCCAUGCAUUUCUACGUGCAAUAUGCUUGUGAAAUGUUGUAUGAUAUGUACUUUGUACAAGUCAUGAACCAAUAUGGCAAUAUCCAAUUUUUUGCCUAUUUUUUCAUUAAUUAAUUUCCUACUAACCUAUAAAUUAGGAGCAAAUACUAAUAACUAUGAUGUUAGUAAGUAUAUAUGUGAAAUAUAAAUUUAAAAGAAAAACGAUUUUUUUUUAAUAAGAAUAAAAAUCAGUGUAGGAGAAAUGAGGCUAAUUACUUCAGUCUUAAGAUAAAAUAUUAUUUGUUUAAUAAAUAAUUUUAUUUACUUUUAUUUUUUAAAAUAUCGUAUAUUUUAAUGCAAUAUCAAGCUUAUUCAUGAUAAACACAAACAUUUGAUAAGAUUUAAUUAUAUAUACUUUUCCCCUUUUUAUAUAUCUUUAAUACAAUGUAUAUUAGUACUAUUAUAAUAACAUGACUGUGUUUUUUUAUGUUCUUGGUGUGAUUUUUUUACUCGCAAUUUUAGAAUAAUUGAAAUUCAAAAGCUUUUUCCGUCCCUAUAAAUAUAAAGGAAUCAAUGAAAAAAAAGGUUAAAAGAUGAUAUUAUUGGGUGGAAAAUCCACAAGUAUCAAACAUAAAGAGUAAAAACAGGGGAAAUAUCAAAUAGAAAGGUAUUUUUUUAUGUAAAAUAGAAAAAUAAUUAUGUGAAACAAAAAUGUUAAUCUUUUUAAUAUCAAGAGUUAAAGUGAUACAAAUUUAAUCAUAUAUAUUAUUUUUUUUAAAAUUCACUCACAUAAUGAGUGUGAGUUGUAAUAUAAUCUAAUUUAUGGAAAAAAUGUAAAUUAUUUUUUCGAGUGCGCGCAUUAUCCUCCUAUUUAUGAAAUAGGAAGGGGAUAUGGGUAGUUUUAGACAUUACAUCAAAAAGAGCAGAUAUAAUCAAAAUCAGAUUGUUCAAAAAAAUAUUAAAUAUUAAACCUAAUUUUAUUUUUAAUAAGAUAACUUAUCAAAACACACCAUUUUAAUUAAACAAUUGUGGGCUUAAAUUUUGUAGCAUUUUGAUUUUCUUAUAUAAAAGAAUUCCAACAAGUAGCAGUAGUAGGCAAAUAACUAUUGAAUAAUCUAUCCUCAAACUAAUAAUUAUUUUGCUUUCCUAUCUGAAUACCUUUUAGAAUCACUUUAAAAUAAAUCAACAGUGUAAAUCCCUCAAAAGCCUUCCGAUUUGUUAAAUAUAAAAUAUUAAGACUAAUUAAUAAGACAAGAUCAUGAAGAUGUUUUCUUUAAUCUUUAUCAGAUUUAUUCCGCCCAGUUGAAAUUAGAUAUUCUGAGGAUUUAAUACCAAACAAGUUAGUGUUUGUCUCCAUCAAGAUUCCCCUAAUUAAUCAAAAAAAAAAGCAUCAACCAUUAUCAUUAUUAUGUGGUUUGUUAAAUCGAAAUUUAAUUAACUCGGAAUUCAAACCUUCUUUUUAAUCUCAUGAUUCAUUUGAAAAUGUCGAGCAAAAUGAACGAAAUCAAAAAUAAGAAUAAUAAAUUGAGAUAACAAAUAAGAUUUUAAAUCAAAUAAUUAUUUUUAUUUUACUCAAAGAUAAACUUACAACAUUAAACCACCCGGUAAUUAGAGAUAAAAUUAAUUUUAUUAAUGAUUUGAUAAGAUGGUUCUUGAAUUAAAAUUAAUUUUUGUAAUUACAAAAUUAUAAAUAUAUGUUUGUGCAAUUACAAAAUAGAAUCCAAUCAUUAUAAAGCAUAACAAAUGAAGAAUCGAAAACACUUAUUUUUUUGCAAAUCCAUAUAGUUGAUUAUUUGUGGUUUAAUGUUGUAGAUUUAAUCCCUUCAAUUCAAUAUAUUUGAUUAUUUAGUUGGAAAAUUAUCCCAUAUAUAGUUAAUGGAAUUUUUUAAACUUCACAAGUGGGUUAAGAUUGUGCUCUACAACUCAACUUAAAUAUUAGCAUGAGAAAAUCUUCGAUUAUUUUUUUUUUAUAUUUUGUAAUUCAAAAUAAUGAAUUGAUUUAAUUUAUUAUUUAUUUUUUUACCAAGUCCUACCAUUAAUAUCAAAUUAAAAAAUAAUUACGCGUGGCUGAAGGGGGCACAAAUGGGGACAUGGGGAGGGGGCAGAAGAUUUACGUUCGAGCAAAAUGUGAUUAUGUUGCCAUGAUGAUACCACAACUAUUUGGCCAUAGCUAGCUCCAAACCACAUGUUAGAAGAUAAUGAGCUUCACUUUUUCAUAUCCUGCGAAAGCAGCAAAAUGAUUUAAUUUUUUUUUUAGAUUCUAAUGUGUAGCCCACCACCCUGGCCCAAAGAUGACUUUACUAACAUCAAAGGCCAUUGAUGAUAUGCAGAGGAGAAUCUGCUGAUUUGUCACCUUAGGAGGCUGGACCGCGUACCGCCACCCAUGCUCGGCACUUGGGCUAGCACAAGGCAGCACAACUUUUCGUCUUUAUUCCACACUCUUCGCGUGGUAGCCUUGUGGCAGAAAGAGGCUAUUCACCACCUCUACCAACACCACCAUCUAUAUAUGCACUUAUGGCAUCCGUUCAAACCCAACUCAAGUUUCAGAUUGAAUUUUAGUAUAAUUCAACCACAACCACAAGCCACCACUAGACCCAUUUUGAAACCACAGUUCCUCCUUUGUUACAGUACAGAAGUAGAAGGAAAAUGUCAGCUUUAUCCAAGGUUGUUGCUUCAUGGUGCAAGAAGCAUGUAGAUGGAGACGAUGAUGACAAUGAUUUUGACUAUGCUCCCGCAGCAUGCAUGGAAGGCGAUGGCGACGAUGAUGAUGGAGACUAUGACUAUGCUCCAGCAGCUUCUCUCGAGGGUGAUGAUGAUGGCAACUAUGAUUAUGCUCCAGCGGCAUGAGUGAAUAUAAAUAGUUAGUCCUUAUGCUAUUUGCUCUUAACAGCAUCAAACCCUAAUCAUGGGGUUUCUAACCCAAAACUUUUUGCAAUUCUAUUAUGGAGUAAGUUCUAUGAGCGGCCCCCGAUUGUGCAAAUUUAAAGCACCUUAUGAUUGUGGGAUUUUAAGGAUUAUUUUAAAUGAUAUUCAUGGAAAACAUGGGAUUAUUUUAAAUAAUUUACGUUUAAGGAUGAUGAUGAUGAUAGAUGGCCAUCAUCACUAUAUUAUUAACUACUCAACUAGCACUUUGUUCAGGUUAUCGUGGAAGAAAUUAAAUAAUAUUAUCUCAGUUUUGUACUUAAGCAUAAUCCAAUUUUUUUAAAAGAAUGUUUUAUUGUCUGUUGGUGUCUUGGUAAAUAUCAGUCAAACAAGUCAAUGUAGAGCUAAUUAAUUACUGUUUCGUUAGGCCAAAAGGUCCAAUCCAAUGUUAUUAUUUUACAUUAAAACCGAAAAAUAAUAAUCAAAAGUGCUCGUGUUAAAC
rnacentral:lncRNA from 1 species